AGUGAAACAAAACAAUGCCCCUAACACUAAGAUUAUACGGUAGAGUGAAACAAAAAAUAAAAAGCCCUAAUGCUACAGUGAAAUAUCGCUGCUGCUACAGCCUUCACCACGGCGGCGUGAGGCCUCGCUCGUCCACGUCAUCGCCAAUCCUUCCCCGGCGCUACUGCUACAAUUCCUCACCACGGCGUUGUUGCUAUAGUUCCUCACCGCGGUGCUGCUCCGUCCCUCACGCUGUUGCCGUUUUUUUCCCGGAGCCGGUCGUCCCUCAGUCUGUAGGUGGUCGUCAUGCUGUCGCCAAUUCUUCCCCGGUGCCACUCAUCCCUCAGCCUUUGCAAUUUAUUUUAUUACCUCUUUCUCUGUUAGAUUUGAGAGUAUGGAUGAUUGGAAGAAUGAAGUUCUUCAUUUCAAUUUCGCUUGAGAAGUAGAUGUCUGUGUUUGUGUGUGUUUCCGGCUUUGUUGUAGUCUGGCUUGAGAAUAUUAUACUGCUCUUAUUUAUGAUGAUUUUCGUUUCUUAACUAUGGGGUUAUUUGUCUGAAUCUUUUGAUGAGAUUUUUAAGAAAUAACCCUUUAUGUUUCUACUUCGAAAGCCACUCAACUAUAUACAGAUUGGAAACAUGAUCUGAACACGCUUGCUCAUCCCAGCCUGAUGAAGAAAAUACUCAGCUCAGGGUCGGAGUUCCGGGGGCUCAUGAUUUCAUUUACAAGGAUUUGGUCAAAAUAUAGCACCAUGGAUUAAUUAAUGAACUUCAAGGUGUGGAUAAUCUACAAGGAAUCUAACUGGAUUUUGUCAGUAAUCUGGAUAGUUUUGAUCAUAUGUUUUGGAAGCAUCACCAUUGUGCCUACAUCGUUAUGCGGUUCUUAUAACUGACUCCUCAAGAAUCACUCUUAGAUCCUAUCUACUUUGUUUUGCUCACAAACAAGAAAAGGGUAUUGUGGUGUUUUUGGCGUUUCGCGAAGUUUUUUGUUGAUACGUCUUGGAUCUCCCGCUUCGCAGAGUUGUACGGGGGUCUCGUUGCCAGGUCAGCGAGUCGGGGGGUCGAGGGCGGCGAAGUCUCCCUUGCCUGGGGGUCCGGGGGGGCGGAGCCGCCCCCUACCCAGCGUUUUGGACGUUUUUUGAACGAAAGCUGCAGCCACCAUCGCCUCCGCGCCCACCGUCGCCUCCGGCGCUCGCUACCCACGUCACCCGCCGUGUCCUUUUUGGCGAAGGGCAUAGGCGGCGGCGCCGCCUCGCGCCGCCCGCGUAUUUCUGGCAGUUACGUUUUUUGGGGUUUAAAACCCUUUUUCUAGGGUUUUCUUCCCAUUCUGGACCCAGCCAGCCCCCAGCUGCGGUUAUUUUUACUAUGUUUACUUAGAUUUUUGAUAGAGAGAAACACAUUAGGAACUAUUGGAUUACGCUCGAUCGUCGUUUUCUUGAAUUGGUUAUAAGUACUCUCUUUUGAUUUACUAGUUUCUACAAGAUUUCUUGGUUGUUUAUUUUCCUAG